rnacentral:lncRNA from 1 species
AAAGAUGAAGCCCCUGAUCUGAUGGGGACCUGGGAGGGGGCAAAUGCUUCAUUGCCAUGGGAGGCAGGAAGGGGGUGGAAAGGAAGGCCGCGCUGCAUCUCCCCACCCUGUCCAGAAAAUAUUAACUGGCUCUUGCUACAGAAGAACCCUGCGAAACUGCCCGGCAAUCCAGACACCCAGAACUGACAAAUCCCACGCCCACAGUAUCGAGUCCAAUUCACUGAUCUGUAGCUUCCUGCAUUGAAUAUCAGUCGUCCUCUUGAGGGUUGGGACACCAGUCAGGAAAAAAAGGCACGAGGAGGUUUCCUCCUCCCUAGUCCCUGCGAGAGCGAGGCGUCCUUCCUCUUCCUCCUCCUCCUCCUCGGUCCAUCUUGGGAUCGUCUCCCCCCCCCCGCCCCCAGCAGGAACCGUUUAGGUGCCCGGGUUUUCAUUCCACAAGCUGGGAAGCUUGGGGGGGGUGUGUGAAAUGGUUAGGGUCCUCCGGCCUGAGGCUGCCAGCAGAGGGAGGCGAGAACUGGCCGGGCAGGCGAGUAGAGGAACCGUCUAGCACGCUUGGACUCAGAGGGUCUUUCAUGCUGACGUUCUAACCUUUGGAACUCAGAGGGCAGGUCCUCCGGGCCCGCCUCUUCCUUUAAGUCACCAUGGAGCCGUUCUAGCCUUUGGAAAUCAGAGGGCAGGUCCUCCAGGCCCGCCUCUUCCUGCAAGUCACCAUGGGGACCUUCUAGCCCUUUGCACUUGGAGAGCAGGUCCUCUGGGCCCGCCUCUUCCUGUCCCGUUGCCAUGGCGACACUGGGAUGCCAAAGGCCGGUGUGUUGUGCUUUUUCUUCCCUGCCGUGUCUCCCCAUUAUUUGUCCGGCCUGCCCCUGCGGCGCCCAGAGGCUGUUCUGGCUGCAAGGCCGGUGGCAGACCCGGCCUGCGCUGGACGCUGCCCCGCUCAUAACGGGGACGGCGGCUGGCAGGUGUCGUUGUGUCCAUGAGAUCAUUCACGUGGACGCAGAGCUUCAUAAUUCAUUUGCUCUACCCUGCAACCUCGAGGAACAACCAGAUCUGGAAAGGUGGGCAGGUAAGGGUGCACUGGGGCCAGCGGGAUGGUAGAGGCUCACCAUGUGGGUCUGUCCUGAUCCCCUCUGCCCCAUGAUGACCUUUGUUAAUUCUUAAUUGAAGGCUUGGUUGUAUGUUAGUGGUAACCCCCCCAUGUGGAUGGAUCUGUCCUGGCCCCUCCAUCCCCUCAGGCCCUGGUUUAUGGGGUAGGAAACAGGUUGCGUGUAAGGCCACUUGGAAUGCUUUUAGGCUUCUAGGCAUGCAGAGUUCCCAUUCCAGGAAGGCCUUGGUGAUGGCCCAAAAGUCAUAAAAGUGUCCCAGCAAGUCUGUACUAAGGGGCAUCUCCUUUGGGACCCCUCACACGUAACAGUCUAGAUCCUGAUGCUCCCCCGCCCAACCAGAGGUUAAUUCUUAGAUGGGCUUUUUCCAUCUUUUCGGCUCUCCCUCCGCCCCAUACAAAAAGGCCCAGCCCUGUUGGACCGAGUAGCUAGCUACUUUCAUUUCCAAUUUAUUUAAUUAAAGCAUUCUUAAUUCUUGUGAUUCUUAUCAACUUUAUUAGGUCUUUUUCUUUUAACAAAAAAUUCAGUCUGCAUGCAAAUAGCUGUUUGUUUAUUUUAUUUAUCCAGAGACUUUAAGAAGCAGUAUUUCAGUGUAGGUUGUAAUCUCAAUAUGCUGGCUGUGGAUUCCGGAAGGUCUAAACGGAGGCUCCGUUUCAUAGGACAGAUCACAGUUUUCAAGUUGUUGCACACAGUGCGUUACGAUUGUCCUGUGUUAUGACUAUCUAAUAUUGGGAAGAACAUUUAAUGGUUUAGAAUUUGAUUCAUCAGGUCAAUGAAAGGUUAUUGUAAGAUGCAGAAUACAUAGAGUCAAGUUUAUCUGUUUUAAAAUAAAAUGAGAAGGAUGUUGUGCCA